rnacentral:rRNA from 1 species
AAUACCCAAUGGUAGUGGUCAGCACAAGCUAUCUACUUAAAGAUUUAUCGCUUCGGGAGGGACCUAUGUAUCAUCAGCUAGUUGGUGAGGUAACGGCUCACCAAGGCUACGACGAUUAUCGGGUGUGAGAGCAUGGCCCGACUCACUGGGACUGAGACACUGCCCAGACUCCUACGGGAGGCUGCAGUCAUGAAUCUUCCUCAAUGGCCGAAAGGCUGAAGGAGCGACGCCGCGUGUGUGAUGAAGCCCUUUGGGGUGUAAAACACUUUUAUAUAGGAAGAACAAAUGACGGUACUAUAUGAAUAAGGGGCUGCUAACUUCGUGCCAGCAGCAGCGGUAAUACGAAGGCCCCGAGCAUUAUCCGGAUUUAUUGGGCGUAAAGGGUUCGUAGGUGGUUUGUAACAUCUCCUGUUAAAUCCCAAGGCUUAACCUUGGGCCUGCGGGAGAUAUGGACAAACUAGAGACUGGAAGAGGCAAGCGGAAUUGCUGGUGUAGGGGUUAAAUCCGUUAAUAUCAGCAGGAACGCCAAAAGUGAAGACAGCUUGCUAGGACAGUUCUGACACUAAGGAACGAAAGCGUGGGGAGCGAAUGGGAUUAGAUACCCCAGUAGUCCACGCCGUAAACGAUGGAUGCUAAACAUUGGGAGUUUCGACCCUCUCAGUGUUGUCUACUUAAGCUAACGCCUUAAGCAUCCCGC